rnacentral:rRNA from 1 species
UACGUAGGGAGCAAGCGUUGUCCGGAAUCAUUGGGCGUAAAGCGCGCGUAGGUGGCCUCAUAAGUCUGCUGUGAAAGUCAAAGGCUCAACCUUUGAAAGCCGGUGGAUACUGUGAGGCUAGAGUACGGAAGAGGCGAGUGGAAUUCCUGGUGUAGCGGUGAAAUGCGCAGAUAUCAGGAGGAACACCAAUAGCGAAGGCAGCUCGCUGGGACGUUACUGACACUGAGACGCGAAAGCGUGGGGAGCGAACAGG